rnacentral:rRNA from 1 species
GCACAAGCGGCGGAGCAUGCGGAUUAAUUCGAUGCAACGCGAAGAACCUUACCAAGGCUUGACAUACACCGGUAACGCCCAGAGAUGGGUGCCCCUUUGUGGUCGGUGUACAGGUGGUGCAUGGUUGUCGUCAGCUCGUGUCGUGAGAUGUUGGGUUAAGUCCCGCAACGAGCGCAACCCUCGUCCUAUGUUGCCAGCGGGUCAUGCCGGGGACUCAUGGGAGACUGCCGGGGUCAACUCGGAGGAAGUGGGGAUGACGUCAAAUCAUCAUGCCCCUUAUGUCUUGGGCUUCACGCAUGCUACAAUGGCCGGUACAAAGGGCUGCGAUACCGCGAGGUGGAGCGAAUCCCAGAAAGCCGGUCUCAGUUCGGAUUGGGGUCUGCAACUCGACCCCAUGAAGUCGGAGUCGCUAGUAAUCGCAGAUCAGCAUGCCGCGGUGAAUACGUUCCCGGGCCUU